UUCAGUCCAUCCCCUUCCCCUGCUCUCUGCCAGGGUCACAGCUGCUUCGCCAGAGGGUGGGGAUCCCUGCCAGACUUUUAUCUGCAUGGUCCAUAUUGCAGCCAGCUCCUUUCGGCCCAUCCCACGUCCGCAGCAGUUUGUGCAUUUCCAGUGUGGGGAGCAGGACGUAACCGACUGGGGCUGAAGAUUUGCCACUUUGUGAGCAGGUGAGGCUGCCCAGUUGUCUCCAUGUAGAGGAUGGCCGAUGCCCUUCCUAACCUGAGCCCCAGGGGCGAGAUGCACGAGGCGGCAGGACAAAGGCUGGAGGAGGAGCAGUGGGAAUGUUGGAGGCCAGGCAAUGGGGUCCCAGCGCUGGCAGAGAGUCACGUCUGAUUAUGGAGGUGGGGUGCAGGGCCCCCUGGCUUCCUCAGGGCCCCAGCGGACUCGCUGCAGGAAGCGCACACUGUGGAAGGGGAAGCUGAAUGCUCUGAGGUCAGACCCAGGAAGGUCAAAGCCGUGUAACUGUGUAAGCUUCUUGUCCUGGAGACAGUGAUAUCCUGGCUGGCUUCAUGCAGAGCAGUUCCAGAGCCUCUCCCCGAGGACUCCAUGACAUGUUAUGAUCCCUCGUACCAAGUGUUAAAGAAGAGUGUCCAGUGGGAAUGGACUGAGCAACACACGGGCGCUGUAUCCCAGCUGAAACCAGACAUUGUCAAGGCUUUAAUGUUGAUCACCCCAAAUCCCGAGAUACCCGAUCAUCAUCGGGAGGAACCAGUGAGUGUUAAUGCAUUGGCAGCUGUGGCUUCUCAAGAGCGACAUGGGAAAAUCAGACCUGUGGCCUAUACCUCCCGUUUAAUGUCAUCAAUUGAGCUCAAGUACGACAAUUGUGAAAAGUAUUUACUGGCCACCAGUUGGACCCUACAGCACUUUUCUUUUCUAAUUGGCCACAGCCCAAUCAUGUGACACUCACUGCACACCUCUCUUCAGUUCUUACUCCAAUAGGGUAAAAGAUGGGCAAGUCUCAAACGCAUGCCUAGCUCGCUGGGCAUUGCUACUGAAAGGAAAAGAUAUUGCAGUAAAACCUGGUGGUACGGUAAGGCAGUUGGCAACAAAGAUGGUGUCAUGUUGGUGGUGUCCCAAUCCUGAUCAAUUCGAUCUAAGGGAGGAGGUGAAAAAGAAGCUUUUCCAAUCACUGAUCCAGGAAACAGAUUCCUUUCAGAGAUACCAUUUCUUUUUUGACAGUUCUUGUUUUUACCAUCAAGGAAAACCAUAUACAGUAGGUUUGGAAUCUAUGCAGCUCCUCCCAAGGGGAAAGGAGAGCCUUGGGAGAAGGCAUCUUCAUGCACUCCACAUUUGGCCGAAUAUGCUGAAUUUGCAGCAGUAGCCUGUGUGUUGGAGCACUUGUGUGCAGGUCUCCACUACCACCAUAAACUAAAGCAUCUAUCUAUUUUCAGACUCAGCAUGGGUGUGCAAUUCUUUCACAGGGUUUCUACCAUGUUGGGAAACAAAUGGGCUCACGUCUUCUGAAGGUUCACCUAUUAAAUAUGCGUCGCUGGUGAAAUACAUCCAUUGGUUAGCAGUAAAAAUCACUGUUCCAGGGUGGCUGAUCAAAGUGAAAAAAAUAAAUAAAGGCCCAUUGCAAGUUAGAUCGCUAUGCUACAGAAAAUGAGAAGGCUGAUAAAUUGACCCAAGAAGGAGCUUGAUCAGGGGAAUCCUGGAAAGAAAGGGACCAGGUAUAUUCCAUUACUACCAUUAAUCCCUGGUGAUCAAUUUCUGCAACUAAGAUUGUACAGACUGAUAGGCCUGACUUAAAAGAGAUGCAGAAAUUGGAUAAGGACAUAGUGACGGUAAUCCAAGAGCUUUCCAGGACAGAAGGAAAAUGGUCACAAACAUUAGAUCCCCUGUACAGAACAGCAUUUGCAGGUGGUGGACGGAGUUCUCAUGUAUACAGGAGGUCCUUUUCCUGUGUAGGGAAUUCCAACUCACCUACAGAGGGAAAUGAUGUACAUGGUUCAUGACAUUCCUACAGGACAGCAGGGAGUGGACAAAACUGUCAAGACUCCUGCAUCUGUGUGAUGGUGACCACUUCUUCGGAUGGAUGUGCAACAAUAGUGUAACAACUGUGUGGCAUUUGCUUAAGCCAACCCAACUCCAUCCAAAAGAAAUGAGCCAUUAAAAUAUCAGGUGUAUGAAGGUCCAUGGAUGGCUUUGUAGAUUGACUUCAUAGGUCCCUUGCCAAGAUCUCAGAGAGGUAAUCAAUACUUGGUGGUGGUUGUUGAUCCCUUUUCAAAGGGGGUAGAGGCAUUUCCUCUAAAGGCCAAUACUGCAGAGGCCAUAGCCAGUCUUCUCUUGAUGGGGGAUCUCUGCAAAGGUGGAUUUGGACCAGGGAUCACAUUUUACCAGACAGUUCUUUACGGACUGCCUUAAAUUAUUGGGAGUCCAGUGAAGACUACACAUCCCAUACAGACCACAGUCAUCUGGGAUCGUGGAACGAACCAAUUGGACUAUAAAAGUGAUGUUGAGGAAAGUGGUUAAUGCGAAUGGGUGUAACUGGGAUACUCUCAUGCUUUUGAUUCUAAUGGCAUUUAGAGCAACACCAGCUGUGUCUACUGAUAAAACACCCUUCGAGGUGAUGACAGGCCGAACCAUGCAACUACCAGAACAUUUAAUCUGGAACACCAGUGGCACUGAACUAGAAGGAAUAAAAAUGAUACCUACUUGCAGAAUCUGCAAGAACAUUUAAAUCACGUCCACUUGCAGGUAGCUGCUAAAUUGGGGAAAUCUAGAUGCAAGGCAAAGGCCUACUUUGACAAAAACCAGAGGGAGAAUACUUGGGAGGUUGGAGACCAAGUAAUACUGUUACCUUACAAAGAACCAGAGCGUGGGCUGUGUAAUCAAUGGAUCGGACCCUUCCGAAUCAUUGAUAAACUUAAUUCAGCAGUGUGUAAAAUUAUGAUAACAGGAGGCAAGCAUAAUAGAGGUAGAAUCUACCAAGCUAAUCAGUUAAAGCUGUAUUGAUCAUCCAGGUCAUAGGAGCAACUUCCUCCUCAGGAGCUAGGUGAACAACCCCCAGUGGAAUCACGACAGCUGGAUUCCAGCAGAUCGCUGCCAUGAAAUGGACACUGGUAUUUCUGAUUUACUACACCCUUAUUGUUGCUCUAAGGGUAAGACUGAGCCAAAACCAAAAAUACUGGACUAGACUGUUACAAAACACGCAGACCCAUGAAACCUGAUGACACGUACACACUCGAUUGUUUGACCAUCUGAAGCAGAAAGCACCAAUUAUACUCCGUCCAGAACUUAUGCACAGUCCUAUUUGUCAGGUUAAGGGAAUUAGAGGGGAAGAUGUCACCUCUGAAUAGAAAUUGGAUGGAGUCGUUUCACUGCCAUCCGGUGGCUGGAAAAAGAUUUGGCCGCUAGAUGAUGACUCAAAGGAGGGAGAUGUAAGAGCUAUACCUCCUCACUAACAAAUUCAACAUUUCUUAUGAACAGAAUACCUUAUGGGACUUGGAAAAAUAAAGCCAUUUGUGAUAACUUGAUGACUUGGGGGAGUUUGAUCUUAUUAUGAACUUGAAUAU